GACGAACGCUGGCGGCGUGCUUAACACAUGCAAGUCGAACGGAAAGGCCCUGCUUUUGUGGGGUGCUCGAGUGGCGAACGGGUGAGUAACACGUGAGUAACCUGCCCUUGACUUUGGGAUAACUUCAGGAAACUGGGGCUAAUACCGGAUAGGAGCUCCUGCUGCAUGGUGGGGGUUGGAAAGUUUCGGCGGUUGGGGAUGGACUCGAGGCUUAUCAGCUUGUUGGUGGGGUAGUGGCUUACCAAGGCUUUGACGGGUAGCCGGCCUGAGAGGGUGACCAGCCACAUUGGGACUGAGAUAGGGCCCAGACGCCUACGGGAGGCAGCAGUGGGGAAUAUUGCACAAUGGGCGGAAGCCUGAUGCAGCAACGCCGCGGGCGGGAUGACGGCCUGCGGGUUAUAAACCGCUUUCGCCUGUGACGAAGCGUGAGUGACGGUAAUGGGUAAAGAAGCACCGGCUAACUACGUG
rnacentral:rRNA from 1 species